rnacentral:rRNA from 1 species
AAGGUUAAGAUCCCAGGAAGACUACCUGGUUGAUAGGUCAGAGGUGUAAGUGCAGUAAUGUAUUUAGCUUACUGAUACUAAUAGAUCGAGGACUUGACCA